rnacentral:lncRNA from 1 species
AAUAGAGUCGGUCCAAGAGAGAUACGUAAGAACUGUGUUUAUACCCUCAAGUCAUUUAGAAUAGAGUCGGUCCAAGAGAGAUAAGUAAGGUCGACUGUGUUAAUACCCUCAACUCAUUUAGAAUAGAGUCGGUCCAAGAGAGAUAAGUAAGGACUGUGUUAAUACCCUCAACUCAUUUAGAAUAGAGUCGGUCCAAGAGAGAUAAGUAAGGACUGUGUUAUUACCCUCAACUCAUUUAGAAUAGAGUCGGUCAAAGAGAG